AUAUAUAUAUAUAUAUAUAUAUAUAUAUAUUUGGGUGUAUACAUAUAUUAAGUUUUAUACAUUGAUUUACUUUUUUGGGUUCAUUUUGUGUGUGUGGAAACACAAAGUAAUAUUUUAUCUUGCUAGUUGUGAGGUAAAAUUGCAGAUCCAACUUUUCAAUGAAUUAGUAAUUAAAAAACAUUAUUUUGUAAUGCCUGUGCCAAUUAAUGGGUUAACCACUGAGCUGGUAAAUAAAGCUCUUUUUGGAAUUGUGUGACACCGCCAAAUAUCCACAUGCAUGUGAUUGUAAGGCUUUCUAUUUGCUGCUAUGUGAUCUGUGCUGAUUUAACGAUCCCCUCAGACUUCUUUUUUUUUUUUCUUUUUUUAAUGUUCCAUUUUGUGUGGUUGUUGGGAAAACAAGCUAAAAAUAGACUACAAGUACUUUGUCAUUCCUUUUUGAUUAGCUAUUUAAUGACUGCAGGACCUCAUCUGUGCUUUAAUUACCAGUUCAUUUAAGCAAAUGAAGCAAGCUGGCUUCAGACUUCCUGUGUGCUUUGUAAUGCAAUGUCUGUGUUUAAAUCGGGGUUGGACAAUCUGUUUCCCUCAAACUGUUGAAGCACAACCAACCAUAUCACUCUUGUCUUGCCUCAAGCUAUUUCAGAGUGAUGGGAGUUGUAAUUGUGGUUACCCAAGUUGCUACCGCUCAGCACGGGUUUUCAUUUUAAAAAAGUGUGUACAUGAAUAUCAAUGAUUUGGCAAUGCCAAAGUUUGACAAAUGUUUGUAUAAUUUAAGAGACAGACAUACCUGUUUAAGAGCCAAGUCUGACUUUUCAUUUUGCAGCUAAGGAAGGGUUCAUCAGCCGAGUUCCAUAUAAAAUACUCUACGUUUAAGCUCCACGAGUAUAUGUUUUUGAGCAGGGCUCCUGGGUUUGCCAAUUCCUUUUUUAGUGUAUUACAAACACUUAUUGACUGCUAUAUGUGACCGUUAGAGAUGCUACCUCGGCCAUGUUAUUACAAACAGGUAUGAGUUCCACGUGAUCUUGUGGGUGCAUGACCAGCAGUUUCUCUAGAAUUCACAUGUUGCUGGAGGUAAUCACGCAACCACUUUGUUGCACCAGCUCCACAAUCCAAAAUACAGCUGUUAGAUUAACACUAAUUACCAGUUUACAAAAAAAUGCUGUGACUGCUUUGGUAAGCACUAUACCUGUUUAUAUAAAUAUCAAACCCUCGAAUGCCAAUUUUGUAAAAAAAAAAAAUAUUUAUGCAAUGAAUCCCUAUAGUAGUUUCUUGAAGUUAUUUUUUAAAAACUUUUUUUUACCUAAUCCGUCUUUUCCAACCAGAUAUAUUUAAUGCUCUAGACUAAAAUUGUAAUAAAGUAUAGACCUUUUUAUGUUUUGAAAAGAACAAACCACAUCGAUGCCAACAGUGGAACUGUAAUGUACAGCUGCUGGUAAAUAGAAUAUUCUGAGAGAAAUGGACUUACAUGGUGGUCUAUUUGUGACAUCAUGUGGCAUUACCUGCAAAUAGAUUGCUAUGAUGCAGCACAAUUAAUUUGCAUAAUGCAACAAAUGGUGAUGCAGUUUGUGAACAGGAACAGUAUUUUAAAUAUUGUACAGAUUUGUUUUUUUUUCUUCUGCUUGAAAGUCUGCUGGCACAGUGUAUAGAAAUGUUUUAUGAUCUUCUUUCACAUUAUUCAGGUGACAGAUUCCCUUUUAUAAAAAUUUGUGUUUACCUUGGGUCAAUAUAGCCAUAUGGGUGAUAUAUUGCUGUAAAACGAAAACAAAACAAGUGUGUGUGUGUGUGUGUAUAUAUAUAUAUAUAUAUAUAUUACAACUGUCUCCCUAUCCAUUUACAGAAAAAUAUUACUAAAGACUUUUUUAUUUUUUUUUUUUUUUUUUUAAUUUUGUAUCUUCAAAUCUUUCACAAGGUGUGUCUGUAGAAGAGAUUGUGCUUUAAUCUGUGAACCAAAUUAGAAUGUGCUUUACUUGUCAGGGCUUUUGAACGCAGAUCAGCAUGCUAGUUGAUUGCUUGUGAACUCACUUGGCUUGUCCUUGCUGCUUCACUAAAUGAAGAGAAAGCUGUCUACACUCAUGCAAGCACAUAGUGCCUAUAUGAUGGCUUGUGUCAGCAUUGAUCCCAUGCAGGCCUUUUGUGCCUCACUACAAAGAAAGACUGGUAAAUGUGCUAGGAUGUGGAAUCAUAGAAAGUAUGUAUGUGUGUGUGUGUAUAAAAUAUAUUUAUAGCUCCCCAAGCCAUGGGAUUUAAUCACAUUUUUUAUAUAUAUAUUUAACCAUGGACAUAAAUUAGGAUUACUUGAGCUUUAAGGAGAAGGGGUUUACACAAAUGUUAGUUACAGUCUACUAUAUCUAUGUGGUCUUAACCUAAAGAGUGUUUGCCUUAGUGUUUGUGUCAACAGGGUUGUAGUAACAUCCAAAAUCCAGUAGGGGUCAACAUGUAAAUUCACUAUAUAGAAGAAACCCUUUUCACUACAAAGCUUAAUAAUAAAGGGAGUAUUUUUUUUUUUUCUUUCUACGAUGAACCUUUGCCAUCCUAAUUCUUGUAGUCAGAGCGAAUAGUUUUGGUUAUAAUGAUUCUGAAAUUUACAUCACUUUUUUGAGAUAUUUGAUAUUCCAUCAGCAGAAGUCAUUGCAAGGAAUACUUGUCAUUAUGCUGCCCUCUAUCAUAGUAUAAACGGCUCUCAUUUUAUUUUUGGAUCCUGCAUUUCUGAUUUAAAAAAAAAAAAAAAAAAAAUCCAUUUAAUGAAAGUGCUGCUUUAACUCUCUGAAUGCUGGACGGGUCUACAAAGCAACAUUCCUCAAUAGCUAUAUAUAUAUAUAUAUAUAUAUAUAUAUAUAUAUAUAUAUAUAAAAAUUAUAUUCUCCCUCCCUGGUUAAUUGGUUGCUUUGCAAUAUGUCUUUUUUUUUCUUUUUCUCUUGUAAUUUAAAUAAUUUAGUAAUCCUAUAUAGUUGGUCAGAGUUUAAAUGAAUAGAGGUGUUUUAUUUUUAAUUUAUAUUUUAUCGAGACAUUGUAUAUAUUGGUAUGUUUAAAAAAAAUAAAAAUAUUUCUAUAUCUACAGCAUAUUUAUUUAUGACAGAAAAGUACACUUACUCCACUGAUAUUCUGCAGCACAGUGGAUGGCAGAGUAUUUGUUUCCUCCAAGCUACAAAAUAUUUUAAUAAUUUUUCUGGUUAACAGCUUUGAUAAUAUGUGCAGACCAUGCCUUUUUCACAUUACAGUGUGUGUUUUGAAAAGGCUUAUUGGCUUUUUGAAAGCAAUCUGUAUUUAAAUUGUUGAUAACAUUUUUCCUGCCACAAAAUAUAUAUGUCUAAGAAAUUCAAUGUUGAUAUAAAUAUUGUUUUAAGACCGGUCUUUCAAUUUAAACAUUUUUUUUCAAGCCUUUGUUCUUGUUACUAUGGUAGACUUGUGUUGCUAAUAAAAUGUUGUUGGUAAAAAAAAA